rnacentral:lncRNA from 1 species
UGGAGGUUGAACUAACCAUUUUAGCUUCAACUAGUGAAAAAGUGAAUUGAUCAAUCACUUUAUGUUGAGAAAUUGAUUUCUCUAAUUUUGAGUUAUUGUGAUAGUACCAUUGUUAUUAUAAAGUUUGAAGUUGUUAUUACAACAAUAAAUUUAGACCCCUGAGAAUAAAAAAUAUUGUGAUAUUAUAUUUGACCAGAGUUACCACUAACUUUGAAUAUGUCAAAUUAUGUGAUUAUUUGCAGAUAAAUUAAGCAAGGUCUUAGCA